GACCCUUUGGCCAGCCCCUGUCUCCACGAGCUGGAGCUGGGCUUUGGGGUGGAGGGGACUUGGCUGUGGGACCCUCCAGCACUGGUGUCCUCCCCAGGGGGACCGAGCGCUCCCCAGGGAUCAGCAGUGUGAGGUCCUUGAUGCUGCAGCAGGUUUGUCACAGGUCCUGCUGAGGGUCCCCCCCAAGCGAACAGGAGAAAUGCACAGCAUUGUGCUACAUCACAGUUUCUAAAUCCUCCUCCCCAUCUCUAAUUAAGAUUCAAAUUGAGUAUAGAAAUCAUGUGUAAGUAAGAUGCUAAUUAUUAAAGUCAUUGAUCUCCCAGACAAUAAAGCAGACACGCUUUUCUGGCCUGCCCAUGUUUUGAGGUAGCUCUGAGCACACAGGAUCAUAAACGCCUGGGAUAUCUGGAAGGCACUUUGGAGAAAUAUUUAAGUGAUUGAUUUUGCGAGGAGGUGAAGUCCCCAUCUUGCUUUGAACAAAACCUCUUUGUGGCACCCCCAGCUCCAGCCGACCCCGUCCACACAUCUGGCUUUGGAUGUAACUCCCAGUUACAUCCAAACUCCAGCUCCCAGUAACGACAGCAGUGUUUGGAGAGACCAGGUCCCUGUGGGCAUCCUUGCAAGGACGCUGUCUGUCCAUCUUCUCCACACCAAAGCUGUCCCCGCUGUCACAAGGAAGGGAGGCAGCGCAUCCUGGCCGGGAUGCAGGAGCAGGGCUGAGCAGGUUUGUUCAUGAGCUAUAUAGCAAAUCCACAGGGCAGGAUGCAUAGAGGUUUGUCCUCCCCAAAUUAGACAACCUUCAUGGCUGAACAUCCUGCCUAGGAGUCAUGGGGCUUGGGGAAAAGGUGCACAUAGCUUGAAAAAAAUAUAUAUAAGGAUGUCUGAAAAAUUAGAGAGAAAAUUAUAUAGAAAGUAGAGCAUAAGCAGCAUGGAGCCAGGCUGCAAGGUGGGAGGGUGAAGGUGGCUGGUGCUUUAGAGGCUGCAGCAAAGGCAGAAUCCAGAGAAAGAAAGGGCUCGGGCUGCAGAAGAGAGGGAUGCUAGCCUGGCAACAUAAAGUGCAGCGCCACACUGCACCAAAAUGCUGGAAUUAACAUCAAAGCAAUCCUGGAGCAAAUGAGAUUACAGUAUGCAUGUUAAUGAGGCAGCAGCGCUAAUCAGCAAGGAUGCCUCGCUAGGAGGGCUGCGCUGCCAACUUGCGAUUUUUGUUGUCAGGCUGGACUGGGCUUCCAUUUGGAGUGAAGAUUUUGUUUGGUUUAAAAAACAUCAGUAUUUUUGUGGGGUUUCUGGCAAUUUCAGAUUUGAUUUCAUUUCUUCAAGUAGAUGUCUGGCCCUCCAGGGUACAGAGAAGAACUUGGAAAUGGGAUUGAAGUGGUCCCCUGAGCCAAACUGAAAACCACUCCAAAGCCAAGGAGCACAUGAAAGUUGCCCAAAAUGUAUUUUACUCUAUUUUUAAACCUCAUUAUUUUUAAGCCAACCUCACCAGCUUGCAGAGAGCUGAAUUCAUGGCUCUGCACGUAACAGGCAGUGUAUUUGUGUGUUAAGCUUUCCUAAGGAGUAUGAAGCCACUCAAAAUCCAAGAGGUCCAGCUCUGCUCACACUUGUAGCGGGAUUUUUCCCAGUGUCACAAGGCUGAUGACAGAGUUAUGCUUCACCAUUGAGCUCCAAAAACAGAGCCGUUUUAAAGUCAAGGCCCUUUAAAAAAUCACUUGCUUGGGAGUCAUGUGGCUUCAGGCAAAAACCUACGAAAGGGGCAGCCCCUCCCCAGGGAGGCUGAAUGGGGAGGGGGGCAAAGGAUGGCAGGAGGGUUAGGGUAAGAAGGGCAUCAUGAAGAAGGAAAGGAUUGAGAUAAGGAAAGGCAGAUAAGCUGCUCAAAAGAAUUAAAAGGGCAGGACCCGGGACAGAGGACAGGAUUGAGCUGUGUCUUUGCUACCACUGAGCUGCCUGAAACCUGGGAUGCUCCCAUAGGCCAGGGAGCAGAUUCAGCUUGGUCAGGGAACGUUUGAAGCAGGGUCAGGGAAAAGGGAAAACUUUCCGGAGCUUUUCAUCCAUCUCUGUGGCAAACUAAUGCCUUGGGAGCCAGAGGAAGGCGGAGAACCACCCGCAGCAGGGGAUGGGGACAUUGUAGCAUGUGCUAUGAAGGUGCGAACCAGGCUGGGGAACCAGCCCCAGCAUCCUCGCAGUCCCUCUUGAACCCUUUUUAUGGAAAGUGCUGUUCUGAUCUACUCCCUUUGCAAGGAAACUAGGCUUGUUUUGAUCUGUUUUUCAAACAGCCUUUCUUCUUGAUUGGAGAAAUUGGCUUAAAUGGGUCUCUUUCCCUUUUCUUAAGCAAAGCUGCAAUUCAUUUCUGCUUCCUUCUCUUUUCACUGAUAAUCUUAUUUGCUGAAGUCAUGCAUAAAACAGAAUUUGAGACAUUUGAGUGUUUACAGAGCAGAACACUGUGUUUUAUGUUUAAGUUUACCAUGCAAACACGUACAUUGUGCAGGUGGCUCUGAGGAAGGUGCAAUGGCGGAAGAGCUGAAACUCAGUUCCCAGCUCUUGUCCAGCUCUAAGGAAACACCUUCUCACUUUUUGAUUCAGCAAGGACAGUGACGUGGUUCGGCCUCACAGAAAUCUCACAUGCCUUAACGCUGAAAUGCUGCAGGAACCAGUUCCCAGAGCUGCAUUUCACUCGCUGCGUCUCCCAAAGGACCAGGCGAUUCAAGACACAACUCUAGCAGAUGGUUUUGGUGAUGUAAAGCACAAGGGGAUCGCUCCCAAGAGCUGCUGAGGCGGUGAAGUCAAAAAGGCGCUGAUGCGAGCGGCGUGCCACAGCCCCAUCCCGCCAGGGUCUGACGCUUUCUUCUGCAGCCUGCGCUGUCCCCACGGCCUCCGCAGCGAUUUAUACCCAGAGCUUGCUCUGCAUCUGAUCCAAAAUCUGCUGAAAUAUCCCUUUGCACAACCCACCACGAGAGCUGCACUAGACCGCGGGCAAUGCAAGCUGCAAUCUAGCUGGAGAUCAGGAGAAUAUUUUUCUUUCAUGUUUACAUGCUAUCAUGUAAAACCUUAACCUUUUGUCCAUGGCAAAUAUUGCCAAAGUUGUUGGAGACUGAGAAAAGCUAAUCCAUAUUUUGUCAAUAACAGUCCGAUAAACAAAAUUUGAGAACUAAACACAUUCUGUGCUUAGCAAAUGAAAAUUAAUUUCUGAUACAUGAGAAGUGACUUUCUCAUAAGAUUUCCCUUGCUUUACUGAGAUAGUCCAGAGCUAUAUUAGGAAAUACAAACAUUUUUCAGAAGAACUAUACAUAAUUCAUAGAGAAGCAGAUCUGAAUUAGCUGUAGCAUUGCACUGAGCUUUACGACAGUCCAUACGCCUCUCUCGCCCCAAAGCCUGGAUCUCAGCUGUGCACAAUGACUCUGCGCAUCUCUCUGAUGAAACUCUCUCCCAGCAAGAGUUAAACACAAGAAACCAGAACUGAUCCAUAAAUUAGGCCUGGCUAUAGGUUCAAAAUCAUAAGUUAUGGCCUAUUGACCUCAUAGUCUGAGGGGAAAUCAGAAGCAUUUUUCUAAAGAGCCACCGCUGGAGGAAGGCAGGUUUAAUAUAUGGCACAGCAGAGCACUGAUGCAAAUAAAUACAGCGCUGCAUAAUUGCAGGGAAAAAUCAAUACAUGGCAUGGUGGUUAAAAAUAAAGAUGUGCAUAUUGAGGUUUCUGGUUUAUAUGUGUGAAUGGCUUUUUCCCAAGAAGUGGAGGAAGAUUUUUUUCCUGCAUAGAGCCUUUAAAUACAACAAAGGCGACACCUCCACUGCCCCUUUUACGAGGAGCAAUUUUCAGCUAUUGUCUUCCUCGGAGCAGCUAUCUUGAGUCAGGAUUAUUAGAGUAAUUAAUAAGUGCGGUUUGCUCAUUUGAAAAAAUCCGGCAACGUUUGCCACUCAGGCAUCAUGUCAGUGCAAGACACGAAAAAUCGCUGUGACAACUGUUUUGCAAGUUACGGUUUUUAUUGACGAACACCACAAAGGGAUGAAGCCCAGAGCAAGUCCCUCUUCACUUUAAUAUUUAAACCUCUUUUAAGAGGACGUCAAUAUUAACUCUCAUAAUUGAUGCUGACAGUUGACUGUCUGACCAUAAAAAAAGACAAGCGAUGUAAUUAAAAAAAAAAAUUAGUAAUAGCAAAUGCAAUGUGCUGGCCAUAGUGAAGGACACUGGGAUGAGGGACUGAGGUUUCCUGCAUCUCUAAUGCCAUCGAUGGAGCUGGUGAUGCUGCCCAGGAAGGGCUGGGACCCUUUGGCCAAUGCUUUUAAUAACUAAAUUCCAUUUGUAGCUAGUUAACCUCCAGAUUUCCAGUAUUAAAGAUAUUUCCCACAGGAACCAGAGGAAUGGAUAAAGGCUAAGUUCAGGGAAGUCAAUGGGAAACAGCACAUGGCCCUUUGCAAAUCCCGAUGUGCGGGGAAAUUACCCAGCAAGUGCACUCUGCUCCAAAAAUAGUUAUUUAUUGGACAGAGCUUAUGAUUUUCAUUGAUCUUAUUCUGAGGAAGGAGUCUAUUGUUUGUGCUUAAACUUCAGGCUAAAAGGAGUUCAAAAUAUUAAACAACCUAAAGCUGAGUUUUAAGGCGAAGUGCUUGAUAACUUGAGGUGUGUUUAUCAUUGUUGCUGGGUCUAUAAUACAACCAGAAGGAAUUGGGCAGUAGAUCAUCACCUCCGUGGUUUUUAAUGGGGGUAUAGAGUAGUUUUGAUGUCUUUGAGUUCUACUAAUAUGCAGAAUACAGCAUAAAAUCAAAACCCGAGAGAGAACGUGGUUAGUAAAGCUGAUACUUUAAUUUCUUUAGUUUUAAACUUUUUGAAAUUAAAGGCAGGGAAACAACUACAAUAUCUUGUACACACUGAAAAAUUGAGCUGAGUUCACUACAGGGAAAAGUAUUUCAUUGAUAGAAAUCUGAGAUUUCUAAAGGGUGAGGUUUGAUUAAAAAAUUAAUCAGUGACAAUUCUCUUUUUCUCCCAAGCAGGUUGAACGGCUGAACAGACAGAAAUCUUUUAGAACUAACCCAAUGCACUUCAGUUAAGCUAUUUUAGGUACUUCCACUCUCACACUCAGCCUUAAACUGAAACCAGCAAAACUCCUUAGCAACCCUUUCCCAGCAAACACGCUCCUGCUCCAUAGGUAUUUAAGCAGGAUGUUCCAGCCCUUUUCUUUAUGCUCGUGAUGUUUUUUUCUCUGUGCUUUGGGUUUCUCCAGGCUGGUUUUUUCCUCCUUGCAGGGGAAGAUGCACAACAGAGGAAUUGGGAUUAAAGAAACAAUAAGAAGUUCUAAGCGCUGCCGUGCGGCAGAGAGCAGGUUACGGAUUUAGCACUAACAACAGAAAAAAAAGAAGAGCUUUGUAGCAAUUAAAGCUGCACAAAACCCACCAAACAUCAGAGAAAAUAAGGAGGGGGGGAAAAAUCAUUGUAGUAUUAUGAGUCUAAAAAAAAAUUAAUCAAUAUUCUUAUUGUUCCCUGCAAGAGUCUCACAAGGAGGGAAGAGCCAUUCCCAAAGUCUCAGGGCUGGCUGCAAAAUAAAAGAUUAGUGGUUAGAUCACUAUCAAAAUGGCAAUGGGAAGCUUUUUUUUCAAAGGUCUACUUAAAAUAAAGGUGUCCUGACUGGUACUGUGUUUAUAUUUAAAAGCAAGAGGACCACUGACAUGAACUAGCUGGCAGUCAAUGAGUGUGCUUUAAAUAAUUAUAUUAGUUUCUACAACAAAGAAUACUAAGUUAAAGCUGUAUCCAUGCGCACAUAUACGUGUGUGCACACGUGCUGGCAGGUUUCAUGCCAAAGGAAAAGGCUGCUGGACAAAUAUCAGUGAUAAAUGCAUCAGCUUCAUCUUAGAGCUAUUCUUUUCCAUUCUGGCAUCACAAAUAAAACACGAUGUGUACUGUAAUCCACCCCUUUGUACAGUAAUGCAUUUGUUACCACUAUGGCUCUUAUUUAAGCAUCUGACUACAGUAAUUGUUUUAUACAUUAACUAUACUCCCUGAUGGUUGCUCUAUUAUCAUUUUUUUUCCAAAAUGGGGCUUGCAGAUAUUAGCAGCUUGAUUACUUGUUUUAUUAACAAUUUCAACACUAUGUUAGUGUUGAUUUGGUGCUGUUGACACCGUGGAUGUGAUGGUGGGUUUGAGUUUCAGCCAUGCUUUGUUAUUUUGCUUUGUUACUUUGCUUUGCCUUUCUUAACCCAGCAAACCCGGCUUGGAAGCCAAGAGGAAUCUCAGUUUCAAUCCGAGUUGCGUGUUGACAAUCUAUACGAUCAAGACACUUGGCCACAGAUCAGCAUUUGCAUUCAGCUGGCCAUCAGGGCCAAAGCCACGCCAAAGUGGUUUGCAAAAAACAGGCAGAGAAAUGAUGGAUUAGAAACGGAGAGAAGGACGCACAAAAUCACUGCGAGGCACUGACAGGCGCUCCCAUAAACACUGUGCAUGUCUGCUUGCACAACUCAGAAUGGCAGGACCGAAUUUUAUAUGUUCAUGUACCAGUGCACCUUUUAUAGAUGAACAAUUCCUAGUGGCAAGUGGAAGGGGAGGAAAACGCUGGAUCCUGCAGCGCAAAGCGCCUUUGCUCGUGCAUCACUUCUGUCACCGAAAGGAAAAUCAGAGUCUGAUGCCAGUUAUUAAAUAUCUUCAUUAUAAGGGCAUUCCGUCCAGCUGACUUUCAAUUUUGUUGUAUCCAGGGGCCUUGUGUUAAUAACUGCAUACAAAGGACAAGUGUUCUUAAAAAACACUGACUAUUUAAAUUCUUAUAAAUAAUAUGCGGCUUCCCCAUUCUGACUGAUAGAUAUAUUGUUCAGCCAAGCCAUCAUAAAGGCAAUAAAUAUAUGUACUGUUAUGGGUCAUGAGUCUAAAAAUUAAAUCAAAUGCAGAAAUUGAGUCUUGACAGAAUCUGAAGGGAUAAUGUCUUAGCUUCUCCAAUUACACAGUUCAACAUUUGGAUAAAUCAUAUGAAAGUAAGUAUUUAGCCCCAUUUUUCAUAAUCACUAUUAAUGAGAACAAAAUGGGAGCUGAGGGCAGAGGGAGAGAGUUCUGACAAGAUAAAUAGCAUAUGGGGUGUGUUGUCAGCCACAGAAAAUCAAGGCUGUUUAAAGCCCCUAAACAGCAGAAAGGAAAAAAACAGUAAAAAGGAAAAAAAAAUAGAAUAGUGGUCAUGUGUUCUUAUCAGCGACAGUCGCUGUGUCAGGGCAUUUGAGAUGUGGCUUCCCAAACACGACACAGGGCACAGAAGUAUCAUCUAGAGCUCCCCAGGAUGGUGUGAAUGACUGAUAUGUAAUGCAUGUCGUUUAAGUAUUGCCUUUUCUCACCCUGUAAGCAGCACUUUAAAAUGUUGCUUAAAAACUUCCUUAUGAAAAAAAGCACAGAUUUUCCCUUCGGACUGGUCCCUGUGGGUCUAGGACAGGUGGCUAUAGACACCUUCAGUGGUCAUCUCUUUGUUUCAGGGCAAUAAAAACAUAGAGGAAAUUG